rnacentral:rRNA from 1 species
CCUACGGGUGGCAGCAGUAGGGAAUAUUGCUCAAUGGGGGAAACCCUGAAGCAGCAACGCCGCGUGGAGGAUGAAGGUUUUAGGAUUGUAAACUCCUUUUGUUAGAGAAGAAGAUGACGGUAUCUAACGAAUAAGCAACGGCUAACACCGUGCCAGCAGCCGCGGUAAUACGGAGGGUGCAAGCGUUAGUCGGAAUCACUGGGCGUAAAGAGUGCGUAGGCGGGGUAAUAAGUCAGAUGUGAAAUCCUGUGGCUUAACUACAGAACUGCAUUUGAAACUGUUACUCUGGAGUGUGGGAGAGGUAGGUGGAAUUUUUGGUGUAGCGGUGAAAUCCGUAGAUAUCAAGAAGAAUACUCAUUGCGAAGGCAACCUGCUGGAACAUUACUGACGCUGAUGCACGAAAGCGUGGGGAGCAAACAGGAUUAGAUACCCUAGUAGUC